rnacentral:tRNA from 1 species
GCCGCGAUAGUUCAGCUGGUAGAACAUUCCCAUGGUAAGGGAAAGGUCACGGGUUCGAUCCCCGUUCGUGGCU